CCCUUAGAUGUUCUGGGCCGCACACGCGCUACACUGAAGGAGGCAGCGUGUACUCCUGGAUCGAAAGAUUUGGGUAACCCGCGAAUCUCCUUCGUGCUAGGGAUUGAGGUUUGCAAUUAUCCUUCAUGAACGAGGAAUUCCCAGUAAGUGCAAGUCAUAAGCUUGCGCUGACUACGUCCCUGCCCUUUUUACACACCGCCCGUCGCUACUACCGAUUGAAUGAUUUAGUGAGGACUUCGGACUGGGACCGAUGCGGCUUUCGGGCUGCGUCGGUAUUCUGGAAAGAUGUCCAAACUGUAUCAUUUAGAGGAAGUAAAANUCGUANCA
rnacentral:rRNA from 1 species